UGAGGAAUAUUGGUCAAUGGGCGGGAGCCUGAACCAGCCAAGCCGCGUGAGGGAAGAAGGCCCUAUGGGUCGUAAACCUCUUUUGUCAGGGAACAAAAGCGAGUAUGUAUACUGGUCUGAGUGUACCUGAAGAAAAAGCAUCGGGCUAACUCCGUGCCAGCGCCUGCAGGUAAUACGGAGGAUGCGAGCGUUAUCCGGAUUUAUUGGGUUUAAAGGGUGCGUAGGCGGCGGUGCAAGUCAGCGGUAAAAGCCCGGGGCUCAACCCCGGCGAGCCGUUGAAACUGCAGUGCUAGAGAAGGCGAGAGGUACGCGGAAUGCGCAGUGUAGCGGUGAAAUGCUUAGAUAUUUGCGCAGAACUUCCGAUUGCGAAGGCAGCGUACUGGCGCCUGACUGACGCUGAGGCACGAAAGCGUGGGGAUCGAACA
rnacentral:rRNA from 1 species